rnacentral:rRNA from 1 species
AUUGAACGCUAGCGGGAUGCUUUACACAUGCAAGUCGAACGGCAGCGCGGACUUCGGUCUGGCGGCGAGUGGCGAACGGGUGAGUAAUGUAUCGGAACGUGCCCAGUAGCGGGGGAUAACUACGCGAAAGCGUAGCUAAUACCGCAUACGCCCUACGGGGGAAAGGGGGGGAUCGCAAGACCUCUCACUAUUGGAGCGGCCUAUAUCGGAUUAGCUAGUUGGUGAGGUAAAGGCUCACCAAGGCGACGAUCCGUAGCUGGUUUGAGAGGACGACCAGCCACACUGGGACUGAGACACGGCCCAGACUCCUACGGGAGGCAGCAGUGGGGAAUUUUGGACAAUGGGGGCAACCCUGAUUCAGCCAUCCCGCGUGUGCGAUGAAGGCCUUCGGGUUGUAAAGCACUUUUGGCAGGGAAGAAAAGUUUCGGGCUAAUACCCUGGAGCGAUGACGGUACCUGCAGAAUAAGCACCGGCUAACUACGUGCCAGCAGCCGCCGUAAGAC